ensembl:lncRNA
GGGUCUUACACUAAACUCUCCUAUACACAUCUGUUCAGGAUCCAUUGAGUCUCUCUCUGAUGAAGCCUGGUUUUAAAUUUACACCUCAGUGAUGCCACUGUGCAAAAAUUGUUGCCAGCACUCAGUUUUCCAACGAUUUGGAUAAGUUCUAAGAUUUUACAGAUGAAUCCAUGCAGAGCUGAGAUAGCAUCUGAACAAACAAACAAGAAAACAUCCCCCUUAAACAUGUCAGGACUGAUCUGUAAGUUCAAGCUCCUCACACCGUGUCAGCGUGGACUCACUGCGGGGGUAUAAAACUCAGAUCCUCGUCUUCUGCAGAAGAAUCUGAACACGUCAGACGGAACAGACGAACCUUCGCCACCAUGUCCAGGAUCACAGGGAUGACGCUGCUGCUCAUCAUUCUGGUCAGCAGCCUGUGUGAUAGCACAGGUACAUACGAGGAUCAUUAGUUUUGAACUUUAUAUGCAUGGAUGGUUAUGUUGCUGUUUUACUCACCAACGGGACGAUAACUAACUGACUCAUUUUAAAUGUAAACUAUUGUGCACCACUGCCCGUGAGUUUGAGAGGAAAUGUUACACGGGGUUGAUGGAUAAUGUUUUACGUUCGUAUAAAUGAUUUCUCACUUGUUUGCUUUUCUUUUUCACUGAGGGCAGAGUCUGCUGCUCAGUCUGGUGUGACCAAACAGGAUAUUCUCAGAUGCAGAUGCACAAAGUCUUUCAGGGGCAAACUUAGGUGUCCCCAACCACUCCUACCCAUAGACAGCAAAGAGAAACAGGCUCUGAACAAAUGCCUCUGCAGCUCAGGAAAACAAGGCAAGCGUCCAGACCUUCUGCGAUUCUGCCACAGAAGUGUGUUUGGGGGAGCUGCUACACCCCUCUGACAUAAAUCAGUGGAAUUAUAAACGAACUUGAUAUAAAAUUACAUUUUGUAUGAUAUUAAUCUUUUUAUAUGUUUGUGAAUUUUCUACUGCUGUAAAUAAAAAAACAGAUCUUCAUCAGAGUUUUGUGUUCAUAUUGUUGUAUGUAUUAUUAUAUUAUUUUUUUGGUUCCAUCAUAUAUUUACAAAAAAUGAGAUCAGUUUCAGUUCUUCCAUUCAAAAUUACAUUAAAGUUAAAGGAAAAGGGAAGGAUUUUCCCUGAUGUCAUUAAAGCACGUAUAGCUUUGAAGCCAUGUGAUGGUUAUGAAACUGUGGUUAUGUCUCAAUGAAACAAUCGCCACUGUUACAUAGAAUUAUGCCUUUUUGUCUCCACACUGCAUUCUUUUUCAUUUUUCUAAUUAUUCAGUUCAGUUAUUUUAUUUCUAUAGUGCCACAAAGUUGUCUCAAGGAGCUUUAUACUUUUUUAUAACAGGAUAUAGAAUUAUUCCAGCCUGUCCCCC